rnacentral:rRNA from 1 species
GACGAACGCUGGCGGCGUGCUUAACACAUGCAAGUCGAACGGAAAGGCCUCAGCUUGCUGGGGUACUCGAGUGGCGAACGGGUGAGUAACACGUGGGUGAUCUGCCUUGCACUCUGGGAUAAGCUUGGGAAACUGAGUCUAAUACCGGAUAUGAACUGCCUUUAGUGUGGUGGUUGGAAAGUUUUUUCGGUGCAAGAUGAGCUCGCGGCCUAUCAGCUUGUUGGUGGGGUAAUGGCCUACCAAGGCGUCGACGGGUAGCCGGCCUGAGAGGGUGUACGGCCACAUUGGGACUGAGAUACGGCCCAGACUCCUACGGGAGGCAGCAGUGGGGAAUAUUGCACAAUGGGCGGAAGCCUGAUGCAGCGACGCCGCGUGGGGGAGGACGGCCUUCGGGUUGUAAACUCCUUUCGACAGGGACGAAGCUUUUUGUGACGGUACCUGUAUAAGAAGCACCGGCUAACUACGUG